GUGAUUUAACGUCUUCUAGAACUGUCCAGACAGAAACUAACUAAUAAUCUGGCUACCCUGUGAGGGUAAAGAAGUGAAACACUAAAAAUAAUUCUCCCUGUUGAGCAAAAAGGGAAAGACUGCCCCCCCCCAUUGUCUUUGCAUGUUACAAGUGAGUGUGAAUCUCUUCAGUGCUGAAGGAGGCCUCUUCCAGGCUCCCACUCAGUACAGUUUCCCCGGAACCCUGGGGCCCCCACACAAGUGCCACCAUCCAGGAGACUUGUCUCCUUCAGUGGACAUGUGUCUCCACAUAAUGAAUGACGUACCCACUGGCUAGACCACGCUAUGGCUUCUGUGGUUUGCCUGACUCAAAUCUUCCCAACAGCCACGUGAGAGGGAGCCUUCCCGUUCCAUCAACAGCCGCCUGAGAUGCACCUUGUGGUUUUGUUCAUGCAACAAGAAGAUUCUCCUGUCACCUUCAUGGAAUGCUUUCCUGGAUUGGGAAGAGAUUUUAUUGUUAAUUCUACCCGUCCACAAUACUCUGGUUUUAUUCAGCAAACCGCAGGCCUUAGGACAUUCAGCAGUGCUUCUGUGGCAUCACUAGAAACCAAGGUUUGAGAAGCCACCUCGUGUCAUGCAGAAGUCCAGGUGCUCCCGGCUCCUAGCCAACCCGCUGCACCACACAAGCGCAUUCCCGCUGCAGCUGAGCUCCUCAGAAUCAUCCGCCCAGCUUGGAGACAGUUUCUAGCUGCCUAGAGUCGAGUAGGCCUCAGCUUUCAGCAGCAGCUUCCCCUGGCUGCUGCUGCAGGAAAGCCGAAUCUCUUUGAGUGGUUGCAGCCGUAAAGCUGUAUACUCUUUAAGAUAAGCGCAACCGCUUUUGUGACCUCUCUCCACUGCUGCCACUGACCACUGCCAAACGCAGCACUGAGUAGCUGAACGCCUGGGCCACCUGCUGAUCAAAGAUAGUUACUGCAUCUGGAGCAGAAUUCAGGUAAAAUUAUGGUGGGAUAUUUAUCAUUUGCUAAAAUUGGCGAUAUUUUUGCUUAUUACGUGAAUUCAAUGUUUGAAGAGGAUGCUAAUUUGCCAAUUACUGGCCUAUAUGCCGUAAUGGCAGAUAGCUUGCUGGUACAAAUAAUAUUACUAGCCAGAGGACUCAGGAAUAGGGAUAAGGAUAACCUCACCACAUACUUACAGGAAAUAACAGCUUUACACAAUGAGGUUUUGGAGAACAGAUUAGGUCAGACCACAAUUGUGCAGCAAGUGGAACAGAAAUUGGAUGAUAAGCUUGGCUCUGUGUCCAAUACCCUAAAGACAGAGGUGUCUGUUACCCAAGAUGAGAUACAGCGUAUUUAUGAUAAGAUAAACACAGAGAGAUCCUCCAUGUCUGAGGCCUUAGAGGCUAGGCUGUCAGAAGACCAUGACGAGCAAAAGAAUAUCUGUAGCCAGCUAGAAACUCAGAUAGGCAAUGUUACCCAGAAACUAGAUGCAAAGGUGCAAGAUACCCAGGAUAGGGUUGAAGAAUUGGACGAUGUCAUUCAAUCAAUUAUUGAAACAUCUAAGGUAGCAGAUCACAAAUUUGAGUCUAGAUUCAAAUGUUUGGAAGAUAAUUUACAGUACAGGGCUGACAGAUUACAUAGGUCCAUACGGUCGAUUGCUGAGGACUCAAAAUCAGCAAAUCAUGACUUGGAAUCUAGACUCCAAUACCUAGAAGGCAGUUUCCAUACCAUCCAGAUGCUGCCUAAGGAUGACCUAUUAAAGACCUAGAAAACGUGUAGAGGAGCAGUUAGAGCAAUUUACAGAUUCACUAACAUGCUUGGAAUCUUUUAUAAUUAAGGAGAUUGAAACUUUUCAUAAGGAUAUCAUUAGUAGGCUUAAAGAUCAUUGGGAUGCCUAGGAGGCAGAAUCACUCCAAUCCCAGGCACCUACUCCACCCAGGUAUCAUGACUAUUCCUCUAAGGUUGUUACUCACACACCAUUAGUGUACCCAGCUACCAUGGUAGAAAAGCCAGCUUCUAAGAAAAACCCUCAUGGAUGGAUGGCUUAUGAAUGUCAACCUAUACAGCUGAAGGAUCUUAAGAAUAUUAAAGAAUCAGUUGUCUCAUAUGGUCUCCAUAGCCCAUACGUAAAACAGCUAUUACAUUCAUGGGCAACCUUUAACAGGGUGACACCCACAGAUUGGGAACGAUUGGUAGCAGCUGUACUUGAGAAUUCAUGCCAAAUCCAGUGGAAGACAUUGGUGAGGGAAGAGGAGAAGCUCCUUGAGUGUCAGGGCAUAAAGGAAGGUUUUGAAGCCCCUCUAGAUAAGCUUCUUGGUCAGGGUAUUUAUGCUAACCCAGAGGCUCAGGCUGAAUAUGAUGAUGAUAUACUGUCUCUGUGCAGGAAAGCAGCAUUAAUGCCUUGGAUAAGGUUCGUGAGCCAGGAGAACGCCUAGAAGCUUAUACCAGAAUAGAACAGGGACCUACAGAACAGUUCCAGGACUUCUUACAAAGGUUAACUAGGGCAGUAGAAUUACAGGUAACAAAUCCAGAAACAAGACAAUCAAUUACAUAUACAAUAGCUUAUGAGAAUGCAAACCCAAUAUGCAAAAGAAUACUUUUGCCUUUAAAGAUCAGAUCAGCUCCGCUAGAAGAAUGGGUUUUGUAUGCAGCCAACAUUGACUAUCAUGUGCAAGACACUGGAGCUUGGGGAGGAGAAAAGGUAGCUAUAACCAUCAGACAAAAGGAACAUGCCAUAUGGUAAACCUUACAGCUGUCUCUCAGAGAACUCUAUUUCUCUUUAUUUUUCUAGUCCCUAUUCAAUUAAACCAUUGCUGGAUUUAGAGGUGGAUUUAGCUUUCCUCCUCUAAAAUCCAAGCACGUUAUUUAACUAAACUGUAGAGUUUCUGUAUUGUAUUAAGAAACCAAUUGAUGUAAUAUAGAAUAAAAGAAGAAUUUGGGGACUGUCUUUGUCUUUUCUUGGAUCUUUCUUUCAAGGUGUACACCCUCUCAUAAUCGUUAUUCUCCCAUGGUUGCCUUUCCCAUUAUACACAAGCAAACAUUUCUCUGCUAACUGUUUAUGUUUGAGUCCCACACAGCCAAUGAAGACCUGCCUGACAGCAAUCCCUGGACACCCUGGAAAGAAAAUGGGCCACACCUCCUCGACUGCACUGGAUCCAACUUGCUCCAUUUCAACUGACACUCACACCAGAGCUUCGGGUACUGACUUCAAUCAAGUUGAGGAUUUCAAGCGAGAUCUUCUAUCAAGAGAAUCCCAUCUAACAUGGACUGGAUACAAUCCAUUCAAGACUUUCACUAUACUAAUAUUUUCUUCCUACAGGACCCCACAUGACUAUCAUCAUCUCAUUUCAGCAGGAAGUAACUUGGAGGAUGCUAUGCCCCCUUUCCCCAUUGUUGUCACUUAGGAUAGUGUAUAUACCUAGUUAGGAUAGCUUCCUAUUGUUUAUGGUUGGGAUUGGAAGGAGGUGUUCAGGCUUGGACACUUCUUUCAGAUGACUUUAGGGUUUAGUUAAAAUAGUUAGGAUGUGACAUAAGCAGAUUGUUGUAUCUUCUUAUAUUUCACAUUUAUGAUUGUUAAUUUUGGAUGCUUUACACUGUUAAGUUUUAAUCCUCUUUUAGACUAAAAGGGGAAUUGUAGGGGAACCUGUAGCCAUGCCUGCUUAGGGGCUGGCUACAGGUCUGCCUGACCACACCUUCGAGGUCAAGGUGAUGUAGAGUAAGAGUUUCAAUUGGCUGGGUUUCGCUUUCAGUUUUCACCCUUUUGGCUUGCUGUACAGACUGCUGCCAUGCCAGCUGGCUAGGUCGCUCUGUAAGUAAGGCUUUUCCCUAUUAAAUACCCUUAUAUUUCUA
rnacentral:lncRNA from 1 species